rnacentral:rRNA from 1 species
AGUGAACGCUGGCGGUAGGCCUAACACAUGCAAGUCGAACGGCAGCACAGUAAGAGCUUGCUCUUACGGGUGGCGAGUGGCGGACGGUUGAGGAAUACAUCGGAAUCUACUUUUUCGUGGGGGAUAACGUAGGGAAACUUACGCUAAUACCGCAUACGACCUACGGGUGAAAGCAGGGGAUCUUCGGACCUUGCGCGAUUGAAUGAGCCGAUGUCGGAUUAGCUAGUUGGCGGGGUAAAGGCCCACCAAGGCGACGAUCCGUAGCUGGUCUGAGAGGAUGAUCAGCCACACUGGAACUGAGACACGGUCCCGACUCCUACGGGAGGCAGCAGUGGGGAAUAUUGGACAAUGGGCGCAAGCCUGAUCCAGCCAUACCGCGUGGGUGAAGAAGGCGUUCGGGUUGUAAAGCCCUUUUGUUGGGAAAGAAAAGCAGCAGGUUAAUACCCCGCUGUUCUGACGGUACCCAAAGAAUAAGCACCGGCUAACUUCGUG